CUGCUCGCUUGGACAGCGCAUAUACUAAAACUGGAACGAUAUAGAGUAAGUUUAGCAUAAGGAUGACAUGCAAAUUUGUGAAGCAUUCUUUA
ensembl:snRNA U6 U6 spliceosomal RNA